UUGAAUUAAAAUAUUUGUAGUUUACACACUGUAUUUAUAAACUCUAAAACAAACAAAACUUUACUACAACCCUGAGUAUUAUUUUAUUUUAACCAGAUCCCUUGUUGAAAUAUUUAAUUUCUACUUUUGGGUCAGUCCAGUACUCUGGGCUUUAUGUGUGAACCUUGAAUCUUUUAUCCUGCUUAAAAGAUCAAUUAGUGAUAUAAUUAACAAAUGUAAUUAGAGUUUAUUAAAAUGUAAUUAAAGUUUUUAUAACUUUUAUUUGAAUGAUUAUAAAUAAUAGUAAAUGUAAAAAUAUUGUCUAUCUCUUAUUCAACUAUAACCCUGACUAACUGACCAAGAAUUGAAGCCUUAAGAGGUUUGACUCCCAUGAGCGUAUAGCUUGUAUUUCAAUCUGUAAAAGAUUGUUUUUCUUAUAAGAUGUAGAAUUAUAUGUAAUUCUCACAUCCUUUAUACUUUCUAUCGGACAAUUUUUGGGGCCAUAGGAUGUGAAUUUCCAUAUUCGUGAAUCGUGAUAAUGGUGAUAUUGAAUCAAUGAGUCAAAGAUGAAUCUAAAUGAGAAAAUAAGCAUUCAUGUGGGAUGUCCGAAGCAUUAAAUGAGUUUGGCAAACAGGCUACCAUUUGUACUUUGUUGAAAACAAUAUUAAAAAAAAACCAUGUGAUAGUCUGUGUGCUCACGUGAGCGUUUCUGAACUAUCAUUUACAGUUUUACAGUGACCCGUUAUUGUUCUGCUCAAAACCCUACCUUCCCUCUGUCUCACCCUUUUUCAUAGGUAUUUUCAAUUUUCCUUUGAACAAAGACUAGGUGUUGGAGUAUAUUGCAUACUUUUUUGUUUUUGUUAAAACCCUCGCCUCACUCUCUGAAUCUAAUACUAAAUAACUCACAAAAAAUAAUAAUUAAUGAAUGAAUGGAGUGUUGAGUCGUGGAGGAAGAGACCAAAAAAAUACUAUAAAAAUCAAGUUUCAAGAUGCUAGGUUUUCUCUCUGACUAGCUAUUUUAGACCUACUUGGAUCAGAUGGGAGGGGACCGAAGAAGAAGGAGGGAGAGUUAUUAUAAAAAAAAUGGGUUUUCUGUUGUUUUUUUCUUCACCAUACCUCAGAAGUAGCAUGCCCUUAGACCAUUCAUACUGCUGUCACACAUUUCCCAAAGAUUCCUUUUCCUUUCUUUCUUACAUUGUGUGAAAAAUUGGCAAAAGAAUCAUUGCAAACUUUUUUUUUACCCUCUUAAUUCUCAUUCACUGCUCUUGUCCUCUUCUAGAUCGAUCAAACAGUGUUGUGAUUUUGGGCCCAAGCUUUCUGCAGCUUCUUCUGGUCUAUGUUUCAUCAUCUCAUAUAUUAAAAAAAGGGUAUAUGUGACUAAUGUGGCUGUGUACCACCUAUGUGGAGAGGAAAGCAAA
rnacentral:lncRNA from 1 species